CAUUGGUUUAUUUUCGUGCGCGCACACUGGAGACGGAGGAAGGGACGGCGGUGGGUAAGCGGGAAGGCUAACGCAUAAACAACAGGGAUUUUAGUCAGGACGGUCCGCCCAGCUCUGUGGAUUUGCGGAGGUUAGGAGACCACAACAGCCCUCCUUGCACAGGUGUAACUUUAAGAACAUAAAGGAUUUUCUAUGAAACUGAAACACAGAACUAAUAAUUUGUGAGAUGUGUGUGAACAACAAUAUUUAAUCAAUUUAGCUCUGAACCAGCAGGAACCAGUCGAGCAAGUCAGAGUCGCGGGGGCUGAUCACUGGUGCUCAGACCAGAGGAGUCUUGGUCUCAGAGACUCUUCUGGAUCCACAGUCAGUACCUUGUUGACACUGGCUGUGUCUUCCACAACAGUUCUUCUGCGUGUUCCUUCCCUCUCCCCUCCCACAUCAGUUCCUUAGAGUGGAGGCCUGUCUUCUAAAACUUCCAGAGUACCUCCCAGUAUCUGGCAAAUCAGCUAUAUUCUGGACAUUCAGUAAAUUCUACUUGAUGACAAAAGUAUAGUAAGAUGGUAUGAAAUCAUUCUGGGCAGAGGUUAGAAAUAUUUUAUUCUACAUUUUACUACAAUCUUCUUCUGCUUGAAGUGAUUUUUAAAAAUCUAAGAGUUUAAUUUAAAAUCCAGAUUUUUGUGUAAUUAUUGCCCAAAUCAGUGGAGCUGUUUUCAAAGAAAAAAAAUAGCAGUUAUAUAAUCUGGACAUAGAAAGUUUAACAUGAUUGCAGGGUGGUUCUGACUGGGGUUCCAGAACCUUCCCUAAGCUUUCGGGACACGUGAUGUCUCUCAUCAGCUGAAAAAGGUGUGAACAUUUUCCCUCCUAAAAGUAAGAGAUCGCAAGAGC